rnacentral:lncRNA from 1 species
AAAUUUAUCAAAAAAAUCAAAACGACCUACAAUUUGAAACAAGGGAGUACGUAAUUAGCUAUGCUGCUUGCUCUUUGCAACAGACCAAAGCUUCAAGUUGGAUUGUCACUAACAAUCCUGUGUAAUAGCAGGACUCUGGUUACAGGCUAAUUUCUGGAGGACUGCUAAUUUUUCAUAUCAACCAUAAACAACUAUUGGUCUAUAAUCUCUACUGCACUGAACAGUUUGUAGUUUUUGCUGCCUAGUACAAAUUGUGGUAACUACCAAUUACCAACUUUAUUAACAUCCC